rnacentral:rRNA from 1 species
AUGCUUGCCGCUUAUAUAAGUCCUUUUUAUCUAUGUUUUAACCCUCACCUACAUGCAGCUACCUUCAACUUUGAUGAUGAGCAUAUAAACUCGAAGAAGGAAUGCUUGAUUCCACUUAAAGAACUACUGGUUUCAACUGAUUUUUUGGCUGAUGACUGCUGUGUCUUUGGUGUGGAUAUAUUGAAAAUUGAUGCCCUUUUUCCUGAAAAGGAGGAAAUUGCGAUCCAGAAGGCUGCAACAAUUCAGAGCCUCUUCAUCCAGAAUGAUAAUUUCAUCAAAUUGACCUGCAGCGUGACGAUAAAUAACUUUCUUGAAAUGAGCAUGAUGAAAUUCGUUUGUUCAAGAUUUGAACUUGAUGGACAAAACUGGUACUUUGGCGUCUAUCCGCGAGGUAACCAGUACAGCAAUAAUUGCCUCUCCUUGUACUUGCACCUUGAUGGCUCAGAGAAGCUCCCUCAUAAGUAUGGGAAGUUGGUUGAAUUAACUUUAUCCAUAUUGGACCAAAAACAUGGAAAACACUUCAUCAGGAAAUGCCCAGGUCUCGUGGUGUUUGCUGGUAAAUCCCACUGGGGGUGGUCUGACUUCAUUCCACUUGAGACAUUCAUGAAUCCAGAGAGAGGCUAUCUUGUAGAAUCGUGCUGCAUUAUCAAGGCAGAGAUUACUAUCUUUGGAUCUUCUGAUGCGUGUCGUCUGAUGGCAUGA